rnacentral:rRNA from 1 species
UACGAAGGGGGCUAGCGUUGCUCGGAAUCACUGGGCGUAAAGGGUGCGUAGGCGGGUUUUUAAGUCAGGGGUGAAAUCCUGGAGCUCAACUCCAGAACUGCCUUUGAUACUGAAGAUCUUGAGUCCGGGAGAGGUGAGUGGAACUGCGAGUGUAGAGGUGAAAUUCGUAGAUAUUCGCAAGAACACCAGUGGCGAAGGCGGCUACCUGGACCGGUUCUGACGCUGAGGCGCGAAAGCGUGGGUAGCAAACAGG